AAAACAAAAACAAAAAAACCAAACCAGCCAGCCUCCCCAUCUGCAAACAAUCCCAUCUCAGUAGGAAAAGUCCUACAACAGGCAACUGGAAUUUAAACUCCAAAUGAUCUCACUGCAUUUCAGAUCCAUUCAAAUUCCCCAUCCAGGUCUUAAUGCAUCCGAUGAAGUGAGCUGUAGCUCACGAAAGCUUAUGCUC